UUUAGUACAAGAUCAUUGAAAUUUUGAAAAUUCAGUUUCGAAGCUUCAGUUUUGCAUCUCAAGUCUGAUUGCCACUAAAUUGAGUACAAGAUCACUGAAAUUUUGUUUGAAGCUUCAGUGUAAAUGUUCUAUUUUUAGAGUACAAGAUCACUAAAUACAGUUUCUCGGGGUCCUAUUUUUCAGUGUAAAAUUUUGUUUAGAAGGGCCCCUUAUUUUUUCAGAUUCUUCUAUGAUCAUGCAGAGACUAAUGAAGAUAAUGGAUAGUGCAAAGGAGUCUAUUUGGAUAAUGGAAGGGGAAUCAGAUUGCCUCGGGGGACAAAUUUGACUAAGGCAGCAGCACUGAACUUUAACUCUUGCGGCACAGGCGGGCAGCAGCAGCGGCGAGGGGUGGGGCGGCAAAAGGCAGCGGUGGCGGGGCUCGAUCAGGCACCCGGUCGUCUCGCCGGUGGGCAGGCCCGCGUGGCCCUGCCUGCCGGAGUCGCCAGAGAGAGGAGCGGUGGCCGCGGGUGCGAGGAAGCAGCCUGGGACGUGAGCAGCAGCAUGCACUCCUGGUCCAGGCGAUCGACACCCAGGAGCACGCAGAGCUCGAGGAGGACGACCUCAACCGGAUCACAGUGGGAGGCUCCGGCGACGCUCGGGGGGGAUCUUGGCAGGAGGGGAACGCGCAGAGGGGAUCGUGGCUGGAGGGGAACGCGUGGAGGUGGUGGUGGAGUGAGGGGAAUGCGUCGGCGUGGUUCCUCAGCAGCAGCGGAGCAGUUCCUGGCCGGCGCACGUCCUGGCCAGCGCAGGUGAAGAAUCCUACGACGGCACCUUUGGCGACGCGCGGAAUCGUGCAGGUGCAGAUGGGUGGCGGCGGUGGAAUCAGAGGCGCAGGUGGCGGGCGGGCGGCGGAAUCAGAGGCGCAAGUGGGCUCGUGCUAGUGGACGGCAGUGAAAUCAGCUGGUGGCGCCUGGCCAGGCGAUGCACGGGGACGACCGAGGAAGAAGAUGGAGACAUGAAUCUAUUUGAGAUAGUUUUAAAACUCGGAGGGCUUUUUUGCAAAAACACCAGUACACUUCGCGUUGGACAACUUUUUCUGGACGGAGGGAGUAAUAAACAGAGUGAAAUCCGUUCAUUUCAAAUAACAGAGUGAGAUAAUAAAAUUUCAAUUUCUUUAAAAGAUGAUUUCAGUUAUUAAAAUUUCAUUUUUUUUCAAAGAAGAUUGAAAUUCAACAUUCUAAAAGUGG